UGGCUAAUUUGAGAUGACGGUUUCUUUUGCAGGGAUAAAACGGCGGCGGGGAGGCGGCAAUGCGCUCGGGAGAUGCGGCUGCGAGGCGGGAAGGCGGCGGCGCGCUCGGGCGCGGGAGGCAGCGCUGCGCUCAGGAGAUGCGGCCGUGAGGCGGGGAGGCGGCGGUGCGCUCGGGCGCCGCAUCAGGCGGCGGCAGCGAGGCGGGUAGGCGGCGCUGCGCCCAGGAGAUGCGGCAGCAAGGCAGCGGCGUCGCAUUAAGCGGCGGCAGCAAGGCGGGAGGCAUGCGCGGAGAUGAAGGAGGAGAAAAUGGAGAAUCGACCAGGGUGAGGAGUUCGCCGGCGUCGAAGCCACGGACCACGGCGGCGCAAGCUUGAAGGGGCCGGUGGCCAUGGCGGGGAGGGUGGCGCUGCGCUCGGGUGCCGCAUGCCUCCUCUGCCGCUCCUUAUUUCUUUCUUCCCAACUCCUUCUCUCUUGCACGUCGCCGUCCUACUUCCCACGUAGCAAAGAGAUUGAGGAAGAGGCGGGAGUCGGGUCAAUCGAUUUGUCGCACGACGGAUGCGGCACUCCUUGUUCCAUCAAGAUCAACAGGCUGCAGAGGGAGGCGGAAGAGGAGCCACGACCUCGGAGCAAGAGAAUGCCGCCUAGCAUGCAUCUGACUGUAACUGUUUUAUCCAUGAGAUGGAGCAUAAGAGAAGUGCAUCUCUAAAAUUCACAGUUUUGAACCCAAAGAGACGCAUCUAGACAAUGGUUGCAUGAGUGGUUCCAGUGUCAUAUACGCCAACAUGGUUGGAGAUUUGGGAUUGGAUGCUGCGCCAAGAACGAGGGACAAGGUGCUGAACUAAGUAGGGGCAGAAUGAUUCUUCAGGAUGAGUCAGAAACUGAAGAAGAUGAUCCCUUGGACACAGAAGAUGCUUCCUCUGUCCUCAUCGCUGCACUACAGUCUUUCGGCCAAGCUCUGGUGAAUGACAACGAAGAAAAAGAUAUCGUGAAAGAGGUAGAUGUCUUCUUGCGUCCUACCCUAAAUGACAGGGGCUCUCCUAUCAGCAAAAUAGCUACUCUGGAGGCGCAGAUGACGAUAGCAAGAGACCGUAUCUUGAGGAUAAGUGAAUGACUAUGAGGUCUACAUGUUAAGUAUAGAAACCUGACGAGGACAAGUGUGCGCUUUGCUGCCACUUCUUUGCCAGCCGGAGUGGCCUGUUUUCAGUGACGAUCAUGGAUCAUGGUGUACAUGCGUGUAUAUGUUGUGUUCUGAUAGAAUGUACUACAAGAUUUUCUUGGAAUGGUUUGGUACUUCUGUUUUAUUAUGCUAUGAAGAGUGUAUGUGUAUGUUGGUCC